rnacentral:misc_RNA from 1 species
CAACAAAAAAAGAAUUAUCAAAAUCGGUACAUCCAGUAAAAAAUUAUGUGGUAUAAUACAACGUAGGUCGACGAAAAAAGCGUCAAGUAAAAACGCAUUAUUAGAUAUAACUUGAAAAGUAGUUGUUAGAUCUCAAAUAAAUUUAAAUGGGACCAAUUGGCACACAAAACCUUUCGAUUAAAACAAAAUUUGUCGAAAUCGGUCCACACGGGCAAAAGUUCUGAUGUAACAUUCAUAAAAAAAAAA